ACAGUUUUAAAGAGUGAACUCUACCCACCCAUUCCAGAUUGAGCCAAUUGCAAAGAUUUGUUUUGUACCCUAUGGGGGAUUCCAACAUACACUGCAAGGGGAAAUAGAUGUCAGAAAUGCAGUGCUUUAUCACUGUAAGCUAUCUGUCCAGAACCAGAUUUGCUUGCAAUGCACAUCAUUGUAUUAUCAAAUCAUACAAGUGGACUUCUGGUAAGUAUGCUUUAGUGAGCAAGUGUUGGGAUCAAGUGCAACUAUGUUUAACNNNNNNNNNNUUGUGGUAAAAUGCCAGCCUUAAGCCAUUGGAACUAGACUGUGAUUUAAAUUAGUUUGAACCAAAACGCACCUUGAAGGGUAAAACACGUUAUCCCUCCAAUUAGCAGGCAACAAAUCCAAGAAACACUACAACACAUUCAGACAGUUAAACAUCAAUAACCAGUGAACACUUUAAGACAAGGUAAACCAACCAGAUGAAGACAUUGAAAAACUAACCUCAAAGAGAGUCCCAAAAUCACAGCCAUUUUAGUGAUCAAAACCACAACUGUAUUCAGAACUAAUGCUAGACAGACACCCUGCCAGAAUAUCACUGUUGCAAUGUCUAACAACUGUUUUUGUUGCACCUCAUAAAGGAAUCCCAGACCCUUCUUACCUGAAUGGCUAAUUAUGUACAGGUGUCAACCAAUGAACCUAAUUUCAAUUGGUUCAAUUUCCCAAUUGCGGUUAGGUGCUCUUGAUUUCAUGCAGCUGGUGUGCACUGGUGUGCUAGAGGGUGGAGUUUACACAUCAUGGACCAAUCCGACAGUUUUAAAGAGUGAACUCUACCCACCCAUUCCAGAUUGAGCCAAUUGCAAAGAUUUGUUUUGUACCCUAUGGGGGAUUCCAACAUACACUGCAAGGGGAAAUAGAUGUCAGAAAUGCAGUGCUUUAUCACUGUAAGCUAUCUGUCCAGAACCAGAUUUGCUUGCAAUGCACAUCAUUGUAUUAUCAAAUCAUACAAGUGGACUUCUGGUAAGUAUGCUUUAGUGAGCAACCUCACUGUCCGAAACAGAGUACAAAUGCAUCUGACACCGAGACUGAGACACUGAAUAUGUGGUUUCGAGACCUGACUCGAGACAGAGACCGGUCUCAAGAACCUACAAUACUGGUACAAAAGGUGAA
rnacentral:lncRNA from 13 species